rnacentral:rRNA from 1 species
GACGAACGCUGGCGGCGGGCUUAACACAUGCAAGUCGAACGGAAAGGCCCUGCUUUUGUGGCGUGCUCGAGGGGCGAACGGGUGAGUAAGACGUGAGUACCCUGCCCUUGACUCUGGGAUAACUUCAUGAAACUGGGGCUAAUACCGGAUAGGAGCACCUGCUGCCUGGAGGGCGUUGGAAAGUUGCGGCUGUUUGGGAUGGGCUCGCGGCUUAUCAGCCUGUUGAUGGGGUUGUGGCUUACAAAGGCUUUGACGGGUAGCCGGCCUGAGAGGGGGACCGGGCACCUUGGGACUGUGCUACGGCCCGCAGUCCUACGGGAGGCAGCAGUGUGGAAUAUUGUCCGAUGGGGGGAAGCCUGAUGCAGCAACGCCGCGUGCGGGGUUACGGCCUUCGGGUUGUAGGCCGCUUUGGCCUGUGACUGAGAGUUAGUGACGGUAAUGGGUAAAGAAGCACCGGCUAACUACGUG